rnacentral:rRNA from 1 species
CAAUUGGAGGGUUUGAUUCUGGCUCAGAGUGAACGCUGGCGGCGUGGUUUAGGCAUGCAAGUCGAACGAUCCCGCAAGGGAUAGUGGCAAAAGGGUGAGUAAUGCAUGGGUAAUCUGCCUUCAGGCUCAGAAUAACCCCGCGAAAGCGGGGCUAAAACUGGAUAAGACCACAUCUUCGUAUGAAGAUGAGGUUAAAAGUGGGGACCGCAAGGCCUACUGCCUAAAGAGGAGCCCGUGUCCUAUCAGCUAGUUGGUGAGGUAACGGCCCACCAAGGCUUUUGACGGGUAGCUGGUCUGAGAGGAUGGUCAGCCACAUUGGGACUGAGACACUGCCCAGACUCCUACGGGAGGCUGCAGUCGAGAAUCUUUAGCAAUGGACGAAAGUCUGACUAUGCGACGCCGCGUGAGUGAUGAAGGUCUUCGGAUCGUAAAGCUCUGUUAGGCGGGAGGAAUAUCCCAUUCCUAAUAAGAAUUGGGAGAUGACAGUACCGUCAGAGGAAGCCACGGCUAACUCCGUGCCAGCAGCCGCGGUAAUACGGAGGUGGCGAGCGUUACUCGGAUUUACUGGGUGUAAAGGGUAUGUAGGCGGCCUAUUAAGUCGAAUGUGAAAUCCCACAGCUUAACUGUGGAACUGCAUUCGAAACUGAUGGGCUUGAGUACAGGAGAGGAGAAUGGAAUUCCCGGUGUAACAGUGAAAUGUGUAGAUAUCGGGAGGAACACCAGUGGCGAAAGCGAUUCUCUGGUCUGAUACUGACACUGAAAUACGAAAGCAUGGGGAGCAAACAGGAUUAGAUACCCUGGUAGUCCAUGCCGUAAACGAUGAGGACUAGGUGUAGGGCCGCAAGGCUCUGUGCCGCAGUUAACACAUUAAGUCCUCCACCUGGGGACUACGGCCGCAAGGUUGAAACUCAAAGAA